CCCGGGUACAGUUAUUGCACUCGCCCAUGGUGGUGGUGGUGGUUGUAGGAUGUGACGGCCGAGCGGCAGCAUGCCUCAGUGACAGCGCUGUCCGACGUCUCUGCGUGGGGGCGGAAGUGAACCCGAGACCGCCCUGCUGGGAACCUGGAACAUUACCUAACUCUUCACGCCCGUUUUCACUGGUUGUCAUGGAGAUGUGAGACCGCUACAUCUCAAUACUCAUACAUUUUAGGACACAAAAAUUCAUCUGGAGCAUAUUUAUGUAAGAUUCAUGAAUUUAACAGGCACCACAUCCAAAUAUGCAAAUCAGUUUUUGACCUAAAUUCUAGUUCUACUUAUUCUUUUUUUAAAUAAAACGUUUAAACAAUGUAGCUGAAACUAGCUUUAUGUAUCAAUCUAUAUCAAAAUCACUGGGUUGUCAAUACCGAAAAAAAUAUAUUAUUUAUAUGCCCAUCUCGAAAAGCUUAAAAUGUUAUUUUCUAUCAUGCAAUUCAGCUGUUUUUUUAUUUCACGUGUCCCUAAAAACAGAAAUGUACUUUAAAAUUACAUGACAUUCAAGAUGUACAAUUUCCAUAUUAAAAAGAAAGCUGACUACCAGUUAGAAAAUCAGAUAUCAAAAUUAGAUAGAAGAUAUGCAUGGAUCCUUAUAUUAUCUUGUAAUUCAUACAUUUUUUGUUUGUAAGUUUAUAAUGUAAAAUUUAGACUUUUAUAGGACCAGUAUGAUUUAAGUUGAAUUAAUUAGAAUGUAAAUAUAUCUGAUUGAAUUAAUUAGUCAGCAACAUACUCAAUUUACUAAGUAAGCUAUAUCAAAUACAAUUUUGUCAAUUUUUGUUGGUGAUUCAGGCUCUGGGAUGUGAGCCAUUUGGUUUUGCAUUUAAGUAAACAAUAAUCAUCAUAGUUGUUUUUGAUGACAGGUUUAACCAAACUAAUUGAAAUCUGUAUUUCUCAAGCCAGAUCUCAUUAAAAACUCUGCAGGAG